CUUGAGUGGUGUUCCAGAAGCUUGUCAGAAAUCAAUUAGUAAACAAGCAAAGACAGAUCCUCAUUUGAAUGGCAAUGUUGAUCAAACAAAGGUUCUUAUAAUUUCAUUUUAUCAGUUAUGUUAGUUAUUGUUAUAAAAGUUAAAUAUAUUUUUAUCAUACUUAGUUAUAAACGAACCAACAUCAGAUGAAUUUAAUCCUGAGUCGAUCCCACCUUCCAAUGGUCACCAACUAAAUAUUAAAAAUGAUUCCCGUGAUAAAUCUGAAGAUGACAUCACCAAUGACUAUAACAUCAGAAUCCCCUCCAAUGCCACUCGCUUAAGCAUUAACAGAGGAUUCAUCUAGUUUACCAGCACCUGACAAACCACCUGUAAAUAAAUUCAAAAACGAAGCUUAGACAGUGGCUACAGAAGCCAAUGGGAACUAACAAUAUGAUACAAUAUGAACAAGAUGAUAUUUUACUAGAAGGCACACACAUUGGAUUAUAACUGGUGGAGUAAAUUCACAAAUGAUCCGUUUUUUUAUUUUAAGACAUUAAAAAUAAUGAAAACCGUUUUCUAAUGUUCUCUUCACAAACGUGAAUUAACGUACCAACUCGAACCAAAAUUUUUUAUAUGGACAGAACAUUUUCUACUUGCCUUUUCCGAAUUUGAUCAAGUUAAUUAUAAAUUACACUCAAGUAUAGAAAAUAUUAUUGUUAUUGUGGGUGUGUGCUUUAUGAUUGUACAUGUG